rnacentral:rRNA from 1 species
CGGACGGGUGAGUAAUGUAUGGGGAUCUGCCUGAUGGGGGGGGAUAACUACUGGAAACGGUAGCUAAUACCGCAUAACGUCGCAAGACCAAAGAGGGGGACCUUCGGGCCUCUUGCCAUCGGAUGUGCCCAGAUGGGAUUAGCUAGUAGGUGGGGUAACGGCUCACCUAGGCGACGAUCCCUAGCUGGUCUGAGAGGAUGACCAGCCACACUGGAACUGAGACACGGUCCAG